rnacentral:rRNA from 1 species
CUUGAUAGGUCAUCUCAUCUGGAAGGAGAGAUGGCUUAAAGGGGUACGCGGGCUUCUUCCGCGAAUCUGCUCCAGGAUGGGACUGCGUCCGAUCAGGCUGUUGGCGGGGUAAUGGCCCACCAAACCUGUAACCGGUACGGGCCUUGAGAGAGGUGGCCCGGAGAUGGACACUGAGAGAAGGGUCCAGGUCCUACGGGGCGCAGCAGGCGCGAAACCUUCGCAAUGCGCGAAAGCGUGACGAGGUUAAUCCGAGUGACUCCCGCUGAGGGGGUCUUUUUGUUUUCUGUAAAUAGGCAGGCGAAUAAGGGGAGGGCAAGCCUGGUGUCAGCCGCCGCGGUAAUACCAGCUCCUCGAGUGGUCGGGGCGAUUAUUGGGCCUAAAGCAUCCGUAGCCGGUUCCGUAGGUCCUCUGUUAAAUCCAACCGCUUAACGGUUGACCUGCAGAGGAUACCGCGGGACUAGGAGGCGGGAGAGGCGGACGGUACUCCGCGUGUAGGGGUAAAAUCCUUUGAUCCGCGGAAGACCACCAGUGGCGAAGGCGGUCCGCCAGAACGCGCUCGACGGUGAGGGAUGAAAGCUGGGGGAGCGAACCGGAAUAAGA